rnacentral:lncRNA from 1 species
UUUCUAAAUACCAGUCCUUAUGAUGAAAGCAACAUGGAUAUGAAAUAAGUUGGAAGUAGGUAGGAAGGAUUUAUUCCUGUUAUGAAAUAUUUAGACCUAAUACCACCUUCAAAUUCAUUCAGAUCUUUAUUGGGGAAAGAAUAAUCUGUAAAAGUUCCUUGUUUACUUACAUUUUUACUUUAUUUUUGUUUGUGAAUCAAGCUAGCUGUUUUCAUGGCUAUGUAUUAAAGCCAGUCCACUUUGAUGUUUCCCUUUUGAUUGUCACAUUAUUUAGUGUGUUUGUAGUCAGAUUGUGUGAAAGGAAAACACUAAGAUUAUUAAGCACUGUUAUCAGAUAGUUGACAAUGUAUUUUAAAUUGAAUUUUUUACUGGUAGUAUUUAUUUUGUACCAUUUUUAUUUUUAGAUGCCUUUCUCAACUUACUUGGCUUGGCAUAAAUAUAGAUGGUAGAAAAAUGGAAAAUAUCCACUUGAAUAAACUUGACUAGUUUAUUCACACUAAGAUUUUCAGACAGUUGAAACAAAUGGUAUUUUUGUAUUUUAUGAAAUGUGAUAAAGGUUUAUUCUGAUUAAAUUCUCCUUUUUCUAGAGUUGUUUGGCCAAAGAAAGCAUUUUGAAGUUCAGAUAUCUACAGUAGAUGGUCACCUCUAUGAACAGGUUAUAUUAAAAGAAAUGGUUUGGCUGAAGAAGCAGGAAGCUCAAGACACCUGUGGGAACUGUCAACCUUAUUGAAAGAUUACAUUUAAAAAAAAUGGGUUGGCUGAAGAAACGUGAAGAUUGGAUAUUCAUUGUAACCAGUGCCCAUUAUUAGAUUGAAGGAAAAUGAAAUGGGUUGGCUGAAGAAAUGCGAAGAUUGGAUAUUCAUUGUAACCAGUGCCCGUUAUUAGAUUGAAGGAAAAUGCAAUGUUUUUGCCGAAGAACUAAUGCGAAGCCGAAGAUACCUUUAAGGACAACUGGAUGGCUUCAUGAAAAAGAUGUGUAGCAGAAUAGUUUGUGCCAUCAGAGUGUAAAUCAGAUCCAGCCCAGUCUCGCUCUCCUUCAAGGAUAAAAUAUUGCUUGGACUUUGCAAGCACAACCACAAAAUGGAUUUGUUAAUAUGUAUUGUAUUUUAUAAUAAAGUAUUCUUAAUAAAAA